AGCGAACGCUGGCGGCAGGCUUAACACAUGCAAGUCGAACGCCCCGCAAGGGGAGUGGCAGACGGGUGAGUAACACGUGGGAACGUACCCUUUGGUUCGGAAUAACUUGGGGAAACUCAAGCUAAUACCGGAUAAGCCCUUAUGGGGAAAGGUUUACUGCCGAAGGAUCGGCCCGCGUCUGAUUAGCUAGUUGGUGAGGUAAUGGCUCACCAAGGCGACGAUCAGUAGCUGGUCUGAGAGGAUGAUCAGCCACACUGGGACUGAGACACGGCCCAGACUCCUACGGGAGGCAGCAGUGGGGAAUAUUGGACAAUGGGGGCAACCCUGAUCCAGCAAUGCCGCGUGAGUGAAGAAGGCCUUCGGGUUGUAAAGCUCUUUUGUCAGGGACGAUAAUGACUGUACCGGGAGAAUAAGCCCCGGCUAACUUCGUGCCAGCAGCCGCGGUAA
rnacentral:rRNA from 1 species